rnacentral:rRNA from 1 species
CCUACGGGUGGCAGCAGUGGGGAAUAUUGGACAAUGGGGGGAACCCUGAUCCAGCCAUGCCGCGUGUGUGAAGAAGGCCCUCGGGUUGUAAAGCACUUUCAGUGAGGAAGAACGCCUGGUGGUUAAUACCCAUCAGGAAAGACAUCACUCACAGAAGAAGCACCGGCUAACUCCGUGCCAGCAGCCGCGGUAAUACGGAGGGUGCGAGCGUUAAUCGGAAUUACUGGGCGUAAAGCGCGCGUAGGUGGCUUGAUAAGCCGGUUGUGAAAGCCCCGGGCUCAACCUGGGAACGGCAUCCGGAACUGUCAAGCUAGAGUGCAGGAGAGGAAGGUAGAAUUCCCGGUGUAGCGGUGAAAUGCGUAGAGAUCGGGAGGAAUACCAGUGGCGAAGGCGGCCUUCUGGACCGACACUGACACUGAGGUGCGAAAGCGUGGGUAGCAAACAGGAUUAGAUACCCCGGUAGUC